UGUAAGCGUAUACCAAAGUUGUUGCAGUUAAAACGCUCGUAGUCGGAAUUUGGCAGUUCCGGAAGUGUGCACGUCGUGUGCGCACUUUGCGGGGACUGCUUUUGUGGUCUUGCGUAGGAUGUGGCACUUUCAUUAGUGAACGUCCUCACGCAACCACUCUUUACUGUGAGAAAAUCAGAGUGCUCAAAGCAGGCAUUUGCCGUGAAUGUAUUAGCAUGGAAUAAUAGAAUAGGACUCGGUUCUAUUUUGUUGGUUUGUUGGGACUGAGUAAUGAUUAAGAGGGACAGUUGGGGGCAUUUGUAUUCCGGCGCUAGAGGUGAAAUUCUUAGAUUGCCGGAAGACAAACUGCUGCGAAAGCGUCUGCCAAGGAUGUUUUCAUUGA
rnacentral:rRNA from 1 species